rnacentral:rRNA from 1 species
UGCUGGAGGUAUCAGAAGUGCGAAUGCUGACAUAAGUAACGAUAAAGCGGGUGAAAAGCCCGCUCGCCGGAAGACCAAGGGUUCCUGUCCAACGUUAAUCGGGGCAGGGUGAGUCGACCCCUAAGGCGAGGCCGAAAGGCGUAGUCGAUGGGAAACAGGUUAAUAUUCCUGUACUUGGUGUUACUGCGAAGGGGGGACGGAGAAGGCUAUGUUGGCCGGGCGACGGUUGUCCCGGUUUAAGCGUGUAGGCUGGUUUUCCAGGCAAAUCCGGAAAAUCAAGGCUGAGGCGUGAUGACGAGGCACUACGGUGCUGAAGCAACAAAUGCCCUGCUUCCAGGAAAAGCCUCUAAGCAUCAGGUAACAUCAAAUCGUACCCCAAACCGACACAGGUGGUCAGGUAGAGAAUACCAAGGCGCUUGAGAGAACUCGGGUGAAGGAACUAGGCAAAAUGGUGCCGUAACUUCGGGAGAAGGCACGCUGAUACGUAGGUGAAGUCCCUCGCGGAUGGAGCUGAAAUCAGUCGAAGAUACCAGCUGGCUGCAACUGUUUAUUAAAAACACAGCACUGUGCAAACACGAAAGUGGACGUAUACGGUGUGACGCCUGCCCGGUGCCGGAAGGUUAAUUGAUGGGGUUAGCGGUAACGCGAAGCUCUUGAUCGAAGCCCCGGUAAACGGCGGCCGUAACUAUAACGGUCCUAAGGUAGCGAAAUUCCUUGUCGGGUAAGUUCCGACCUGCACGAAUGGCGUAAUGAUGGCCAGGCUGUCUCCACCCGAGACUCAGUGAAAUUGAACUCGCUGUGAAGAUGCAGUGUACCCGCGGCAAGACGGAAAGACCCCGUGAACCUUUACUAUAGCUUGACACUGAACAUUGAGCCUUGAUGUGUAGGAUAGGUGGGAGGCUUUGAAGUGUGGACGCCAGUCUGCAUGGAGCCGACCUUGAAAUACCACCCUUUAAUGUUUGAUGUUCUAACGUUGGCCCCUAAUCGGGGUUGCGGACAGUGUCUGGUGGGUAGUUUGACUGGGGCGGUCUCCUCCUAAAGAGUAACGGAGGAGCACGAAGGUUGGCUAAUCCUGGUCGGACAUCAGGAGGUUAGUGCAAUGGCAUAAGCCAGCUUGACUGCGAGCGUGACGGCGCGAGCAGGUGCGAAAGCAGGUCAUAGUGAUCCGGUGGUUCUGAAUGGAAGGGCCAUCGCUCAACGGAUAAAAGGUACUCCGGGGAUAACAGGCUGAUACCGCCCAAGAGUUCAUAUCGACGGCGGUGUUUGGCACCUCGAUGUCGGCUCAUCACAUCCUGGGGCUGAAGUAGGUCCCAAGGGUAUGGCUGUUCGCCAUUUAAAGUGGUACGCGAGCUGGGUUUAGAACGUCGUGAGACAGUUCGGUCCCUAUCUGCCGUGGGCGCUGGAGAACUGAGGGGGGCUGCUCCUAGUACGAGAGGACCGGAGUGGACGCAUCACUGGUGUUCGGGUUGUCAUGCCAAUGGCACUGCCCGGUAGCUAAAUGCGGAAGAGAUAAGUGCUGAAAGCAUCUAAGCACGAAACUUGCCCCGAGAUGAGUUCUCCCUGACUCCUUGAGAGUCCUGAAGGAACGUUGAAGACGACGACGUUGAUAGGCCGGGUGUGUAAGCGCAGCGAUGCGUUGAGCUAACCGGUACUAAUGAACCGUGAGGCUUAACCUU